rnacentral:rRNA from 1 species
UACGUAGGUGGCGAGCGUUGUCCGGAAUUACUGGGUGUAAAGCGCGUGUAGGCGGGAGGCCAAGUCUGCUGUGAAAUCGCCCGGCUCAACUGGGCGGGGUCGGUGGAAACUGGUCACCUGGAGGACGGUAGAGGCGAGUGGAAUUCCCGGUGUAGUGGUGAAAUGCGUAGAGAUCGGGAGGAACACCAGUGGCGAAGGCGGCUCGCUGGGCCGGACCUGACGCUGAGACGCGAAGGCGUGGGGAGCGAACGGG